CAAGACCUUGCGCUGAAGGAGCGGCCGAUGUCUGAUUAGCUUGUUGGUGAGGUAAAGGCUUACCAAGGCAACGAUCAGUAGUUGGUCUGAGAGGACGGCCAACCACACUGGGACUGAGACACGGCCCAGACUCCUACGGGAGGCAGCAGUGGGGAAUUUUGGACAAUGGGCGAAAGCCUGAUCCAGCCAUGCCGCGUGAGUGAAGAAGGCCUUCGGGUUGUAAAGCUCUUUCAGUCGGAAAGAAAAGAUCAUGACUAAUACUCAUGAUUCAUGACGGUACCGACAGAAGAAGCACCGGCUAACUACGUGCCAGCAGCCGCGGUAAUACGUAGGGUGCGAGCGUUAAUCGGAAUUACUGGGCGUAAAGGGUGCGCAGGCGGUCUUGCAAGUCGGAUGUGAAAGCCCCGGGCUUAACCUGGGAAUU
rnacentral:rRNA from 2 species